rnacentral:rRNA from 1 species
CGUAGGGGGCGAGCGUUGUCCGGAUUUAUUGGGCGUAAAGAGCUCGUAGGCGGUUCGGCAAGUCGACGGUGAAAUCUCCACGCUCAACGUGGAGGGGUCCGUCGAUACUGCCGUGACUCGAGUCCGGUAGGGGAGUGUGGAAUUCCCGGUGUAGCGGUGAAAUGCGCAGAGAUCGGGAGGAACACCCGUAGCGAAGGCGGCACUCUGGGCCGGUACUGACGCUGAGGAGCGAAAGCGUGGGGAGCAAACAGGAUUAGAUACCCUGGUAGUCCACGCCGUAAACGUUGGGCACUAGGUGUGGGGUUCUAUCGACGGACUCCGUGCCGUAGCUAACGCAUUAAGUGCCCCGCCUGGGGAGUACGGCCGCAAGGCUA